rnacentral:lncRNA from 1 species
CCAAGAGACUGCUGAUGCUUUGCUGAUUGGGGAUUGCUCUGCUUUUGCUUUCUAGUAGUAGUGGUCUUAGUAGUCUUUGUAGUAGUCUUAGUAGUCUUAGUAGUAGUCUUAGUAGUUAGUCUUAGUCUUAGUAGUAGUCUUAGUCUUAGUAGUAGUCUUAGUCUUAGUAGUAGUCUUAGUCUUAGUAGUUUUAGUCUUAGUAGUCUUAGUCUUAGUAGUUUAGUCUUAGUCUUAGUAGUAGUCUUAGUCUUAGUCUUAGUCUUAGUCUUAGUCUUAGUUGUCUUAGUCUUAGUAGUCCUAGUCUUAGGUAGUCUUAGUCUUAGUAGUCUUAGUCUUAGUAGUAGUAGUCUUAGUCUUAGUCUUAGUAGUUUUAGUCUUAGUAGUAGUCUUAGUCUUAGUAGUCUUAGUCUUAGUAGUCUUAGUCUUAGUAGUCUUAGUCUUAGUAGUUGUCUUAGCAGUAGUCUUAGUCUUAGUAGUAGUAGUCUUAGUAGUAGUAGUCNN